rnacentral:snRNA from 1 species
GUGGAUCAGUCAAGGAGGUCUUUGA